GGCCUUAAGGUGAUAUUCAUGUCGAAUUGCAAAUUCGGAGGAGUAGGAGAUCCCCUACUAAGGCCU
rnacentral:tRNA from 1 species